UUAAAUUGCUGUGGUAUUUUGACUAUACCGAGUUAAUGAAUAAGGAUUUUAUUGAAUGCUAAGAGAAUGGACUCUCAGAGAAAAACUUUUUUUAAAUUAAAAAUUGAAAUUUUUUUAAUUUGUGCAGAAACAAUUAUUAAUAUUAAGGACAAGAAGACCCUAUGAAUUUAUUAAAUUUCAUUCAAUAUGUAAUUACUAUUGAAGAAAUUUUGGCUGGGGCGGCUAAAAAAUAUUUUAAACUUUUUAAAAAUAAAACGAUCCAUUAUUAAUGAUUAUAUGUUAAAUACUCUAGGGAUAACAGCGUUAUAUUUUUUGAUAGACCAUAUUGACAAAAAAGUUUGCGACCUCGAUGUUGGAUUAGGAUACUUUUUUAAUGCAGAUAUUAAAAAAAGAAGUUUGUUCAACUUUCAAUUUCCUACAUGAUCUGAGUUCAGACCGG
rnacentral:rRNA from 1 species